rnacentral:snRNA from 1 species
UAGACCCAAACAUAAAAA